GUCUAACAACAAGCAUAUUUGUAAUACACGAUUGGAUAAUUUUGGACUCGGCUGGCACACAAAAAGGCUAUCCUUUUACAAAUCCUUAAAUUGACUGACCAUGCAAGGUGCGGAUGAACAUGCAUUGAUAUGUUCUCUCAAUAAGUGCCAAGCCAAUUCCAUUAUACAUAAGCAUUUCCAUUAAUAUAUUAUUUAUUUUAACCAUAAUCUUCUAUUGUUGUCAUGUCUGAGUUUAUACCAGAGGUCCACAGCAAUAAUACUCAGAGUAAUAGGUCUUUAUACCACAUUAAAUGUGUUUAUAAAUCAGUUACAUAGCUGAAAAGAGACUUGCGUCCAUCAAGUUCAGCCUACCUCACAUUUGUUUUUUGCUGUUGAUCCAAAAGAAGGCAAAAAAAAAAACAGUUUGAAGCACAAUUUUGCAACAAACUAGGAAAAAAAU